rnacentral:rRNA from 1 species
ACGUGGUAUCCUGUCUGAAUAUGGGGGGACCAUCCUCCAAGGCUAAAUACUCCUGACUGACCGAUAGUGAACCAGUACCGUGAGGGAAAGGCGAAAAGAACCCCGGCGAGGGGAGUGAAAAAGAACCUGAAACCGUGUACGUACAAGCAGUGGGAGCACAGAGCAAUCUGUGUGACUGCGUACCUUUUGUAUAAUGGGUCAGCGACUUAUAUUCUGUAGCAAGGUUAACCGAAUAGGGGAGCCGAAGGGAAACCGAGUCUUAACUGGGCGUUAAGUUGCAGGGUAUAGACCCGAAACCCGGUGAUCUAGCCAUGGGCAGGUUGAAGGUUGGGUAACACUAACUGGAGGACCGAACCGACUAAUGUUGAAAAAUUAGCGGAUGACUUGUGGCUGGGGGUGAAAGGCCAAUCAAACCGGGAGAUAGCUGGUUCUCCCCGAAAGCUAUUUAGGUAGCGCCUCGUGAAUUCAUCUCCGGGGGUAGAGCACUGUUUCGGCAAGGGGGUCAUCCCGACUUACCAACCCGAUGCAAACUGCGAAUACCGGAGAAUGUUAUCACGGGAGACACACGGCGGGUGCUAACGUCCGUCGUGAAGAGGGAAACAACCCAGACCGCCAGCUAAGGUCCCAAAGUCAUGGUUAAGUGGGAAACGAUGUGGGAAGGCCCAGACAGCCAGGAUGUUGGCUUAGAAGCAGCCAUCAUUUAAAGAAAGCGUAAUAGCUCACUGGUCGAGUCGGCCUGCGCGGAAGAUGUAACGGGGCUAAACCAUGCACCGAAGCUGCGGCAGCGACACUGUGUGUUGUUGGGUAGGGGAGCGU